rnacentral:sRNA from 1 species
ACACGAGAGAGGAGGUGGUCCAAAGUUGUAUACCAACGGGACACGUGAGGUGGCUGUCCGCUAAGGACCACCAUCUGGCUCCAGCCGGCCGCCGAACACGGCAGACGCUGGUCAUCCAGCGCCGUUGACGCGGGCGUUGGUCGGCGAAUCCAAAGCAGCCACCGGCUCUCGGGGUUCCUGGGAAGUUCGUCCAAUCCCAGGCCUCGUGCACAGCAC